UUAAACUUAAAAGAUUAAUUUAGCUCAACUUAAAAUUUCAAGUAUUUUCAAAAAGGAUGACUGCACAGUAGGUGGCAGUAAUGCUCCCAAGGAGUAAGUGGUGGCUUAACUGAGUGGUUAACUGAAGAAGACGACAACAGCACAUGGUCGGAUAAGAGCAUGAGGAGCAGGAGCUUGUUUCUUUGAAAAGUAAACCCUUCAGGGAAAGUCAGAACAUCACUGAUGUCACUGCUCGGUGGACGGUAGUUCUCCGUGGUCUUGCUAUUCUUCUUGCGGAAGACACUACAGACUUCCUGAAAACAAACAUGGACUGUGAUGGUGACCCACCUCAACUAUCAAUAGGAAUUCUCAGUCUGGUGCCGGAGGACAGACACAUUUCUCCACAUGGUUUACAGCAAUUAUUUGGUAGGGUGUCACAGCCAUGGAUGGACUUGAGAAAGUAUCACAUGCCAUGUGUUUAGUUUUUGGACUGAUCGUUGUUUUAAAUAUGGAGUACCCCUUCACAGCUUAUUUUGAGUUGAUUCACAGGGUUUUUCUUUCCCUGGGGCAAGUCAAAACUGCCAUCACUACAAAACAUACUAAUGUGAAGUAGUGCGUUUUGUGUGAAACAAGUCCGUGUUACUGUAGAUCUGUUGCAUUUUGGGUUUUUUAUUUUUCGUCAACCUGGAUACAAGUUCCAGAAAAACUCAACUUUAAUUGCUGCAAAACUUUGAUGUUUUUGUUAAGAUGUAUUUUGCGUGUUUCUGAUGGCAGAAACAAGACUGUUACUGUAGGUCUGUUGAUGCAAUUUGUGAUUUUUUUUAUCAGUCACAUGCCAACCUGGAUACAAAACCAAAACUGCAGUCACUAAAAAAAAAAACUUGUUUUGAAUUUGUUUGUCAAAGUGUGUUCAUUGUGUUUGUAAUAACAGAAACAAGACUUGGGUCUAUUGUUGCAUUUUGGGUAUCCAGAUUGAUGGGUGACUGAACACAAACCCCUUUCUGGUGUGUGUGUGUGUGUGUGUGUGUGUGUGUGUGUGUGUGUGUGUGUGU